GCUCAGUUGGUUAAGCGUCUGACUCUUGAUUUUGGCUCAGGUCACAAUCUCAUGGUGUGUGGGAUUGAACCCCACACUGCGCU
rnacentral:tRNA from 1 species